rnacentral:rRNA from 1 species
AAAUUCACGCCUGACUGUGCUCACCGCGUGAGGGAGGAAGGCUCUUGGGUUGUAAACCUCUUUUCUCAGGGAAGAACACAAUGACGGUACCUGAGGAAUCAGCAUCGGCUAACUCCGUGCCAGCAGCCGCGGUAAUACGGAGGAUGCAAGCGUUAUCCGGAAUGAUCGGGCGUAAAGCGUCCGCAGGUGGCUGUGUAAGUCUGCUGUCAAAGAGCAAAGCUCAACCUUGUAAAGGCAGUGGAAACUACACGGCUAGAGUGCGUUCGGGGCAGAGGGAAUUCUGGUGUAGCGGUGAAAUGCGUAGAGAUCAGGAAGAACACCGGUGGCGAAGGCGCUCUGCUAGGCCGCAACUGACACUGAGGGACGAAAGCUAGGGGAUCGAAA